GUAGGGAAUCUUCCGCAAUGGACGCAAGUCUGACGGAGCAACGCCGCGUGAGUGACGAAGGUUUUCGGAUCGUAAAACUCUGUUGUGAGGGAAGAACACGUACCAACUAACUAUUGGUACCUUGACGGUACCUCACCAGAAAGCCACGGCUAACUACGUGCCAGCAGCCGCGGUAAUACGUAGGUUGCAAGCGUUGUCCGGAAUUAUUGGGCGUAAAGCGCGCGCAGGCGGUUCCUUAAGUCUGCUGUGAAAGCCCACGGCUCAACCGUGGAGGGUCAUUGGAGACUGGGGAACUUGAGUGCAGAAGAGGAAAGUGGAAUUCCACGUGUAGCGGUGAAAUGCGUAGAGAUGUGGAGGAACACCAGUGGCGAAGGCGACUUUCUGGGCUGUAACUGACGCUGAGGCGCGAAAGCGUGGGGAGCAAACAGGAUUAGAAACCCGAGUAGUCC
rnacentral:rRNA from 1 species